AGCACGAAUAGUAGAACUUCACAAGGUAAUGGUUCCAGUAAUUGUUCUGUCUUCCCCACUGGAUUUUGAACUCCUGAAGGAGGAGAGAACACACAGGGACACAUGGACAGAAGACCAAGUGAAGAUGGAGGCAGAUAUUGGAGUGAUACAGCUACAA